GAUGAACGCUGGCGGCGUGCCUAAUACAUGCAAGUCGAGCGAACAGACGAGGAGCUUGCUCCUCUGACGUUAGCGGCGGACGGGUGAGUAACACGUGGAUAACCUACCUAUAAGACUGGGAUAACUUCGGGAAACCGGAGCUAAUACCGGAUAAUAUAUUGAACCGCAUGGUUCAAUAGUGAAAGACGGUUUUGCUGUCACUUAUAGAUGGAUCCGCGCCGCAUUAGCUAGUUGGUAAGGUAACGGCUUACCAAGGCAACGAUGCGUAGCCGACCUGAGAGGGUGAUCGGCCACACUGGAACUGAGACACGGUCCAGACUCCUACGGGAGGCAGCAGUAGGGAAUCUUCCGCAAAGGGCGAAAGCCUGACGGAGCAACGCCGCGUGAGUGAUGAAGGUCUUCGGAUCGUAAAACUCUGUUAUUAGGGAAGAACAAAUGUGUAAGUAACUGUGCACAUCUUGACGGUACCUAAUCAGAAAGCCACGGCUAACUACGUG
rnacentral:rRNA from 1 species